GCUAAAUAAACUGCAGUGUUACUAAUAGUUGUGUAAUUCAUUUAAAUUCAUGAUGUGCUACUGCUUACAAUAUACCUUAUCAAUAUAGGUACAAUAAAUAAUGGUUUAUGUUUUAAUAUUAAAAUAUCGUCAUACUAACAAAUUUGGCAAACAUAAAUACUGGAGAGACUGUCGGGUGUGCAUAAUGAACAACCCUAUCUUAAGGGCUGAGGCGUACUCCAUAUUAUAUGCAUAUAUAGUAAUUACUCAUAAGUCAUGUGCCCGUAUACAUUUAUUGUGUUAAAAUUUAUCAGCGGACAUAUUAUUACCAUUUAGAUUUAAUAAUAUUGAUAAACAAUAAUUGCAAUAUUGCAGGUGUUUUGGUCAUGAAUAAUAUCGAAAAUCUUUUUUGAACUGCUCGUCGACGAAACUCUGUUUUCCCGAAGUGCGUACCGCGAAGCAACGACUUUCUACUCCUUAUUUCUAUGUCGUGUCUGAGGUAUAUAACUCAAAAAAUACACAAGUUGAAUUUUUUUUUUACUCUCCUAGCGAUUCUAGUUAUCGAGACCCAACUGUAUAUCAUCAUCAUGUAUAAACUAUGGACAUGUGGGUGCGCCUUUUAUCUCGAAAUAUCAUGUGGCAUCGUUAAAUAUUCGUCGACAAGCACGUCACAUUGGUCAGCAAGCUUAAUAUGUAAUAAUUGUAUAUGUGGCUUCGGAACAAGUGUGCCAUAUUAUCAUAAUAUACUUCCAUGUGCGUGUGCUAUUCGUUAAUAUUAUAUAUGUAUGUAAUGUUUUCUCAAUGUCUUCCCCAAUACCCAAUGCUCAUAAAACGUCACUAUCGUUACUUAUUAGCAAUAAAAACCUUAAAAACUCGUCAAAUAAUAAUUGCCGAUUGUGAUCAUGACAAAGUCUCGGCCGGAUAGAACACCCGGACGUGCGUCAAUGUACAGAAAUAGUGUUUUAUAUUAUUAUUCUUCCGAGCCAUUAUUGUUUUUACACGAUCAUAAACGCAUAUUAGUUGACAAUAAUAAUAUAUACAGCAAUAAUAAUAAUUGUCUGUUUAGUUUUUAGGUACAUACAGUUAUUACAGUGUAAUAUGUAAUAUGAUCUAUUUAUUAUUUAACAUAAUAUAAUUUAUAGAACACGUCAUCAUGGAAUAUCACAUUCAUUAUACUUAAUACUUAUGCGGCAAACAUAAUAUUAUGCAUUAUAAUGUCGGUCAAAACAAAAUCAAUUGCGUUUUAAAUUUUUGAUAUUAAUAUUAUGUUCUCGUGCAUGAAUAACGGCGUACAUUGACUGUCUGCCGUCUGGUGUAAUCGGAAAGUACAAUAAAAAGACAACAACAACAACAACAACAACAACAACAAAACAAAAUCAAACGUGGACCUAUUUCCUCUUAAGGAGACUCUCUUGAAUUUAACGUGACUAAUGAGAACAUCGAAUAUUAAUUAUUAAUAGUCAUCCGAUUCAUCGAGGACGCCAUGCUGGUUGCAUCAUUCGUUGUCAUUUCGUAUGCGAAUAAAAACAAGAAAACUAACUGAUUUUCAUAAGCAAAAAUCACGGAGUAUUGAAACAGAUGGUACCGAAGGCGGACAAAAUCAAAGCUACUCGGGCCUAGUGUCAGCUAGUGGACGAUCGAAUACCCUCUGAAUUAUUCCCUGCACUUAAAUUCACUUAGGGGCCAUACAGUAAAAUAUCAAACGAGUUGAAGCAUUGCAACUUUUGGUAAAUCGUAUACUAUAGGUACGCCUACUCGUUAUCUUGGCUUAUUAUCGAUCGGACCGUAAUAUAAUUAUAAUGUCGGAUGCUUCUGAGUUACGCAAGUCGUCGAGUGAAUUGGAGAUGUAUUUGGUACACAGAAUGUUCGUAGGUAUCAGCUAUGACAAAUGACAAGCAUGACACAAUGUUUGUUCUAGCAUUCUUAUAAUAAAAUAUUUUAGUGUACACACGCAUAUUUUAUUAAUUUGAUAUAAUAAAGAUGACUGUUAAUGAUGUUUUGAGUGUUUUAUUAUGUCAAAUUGGAGAUAAACAUAAUGAAAAAAUAAAAAAUGUCGAUACAAAGUCGAGUAAACUGAAAACAAUACUUAC